rnacentral:rRNA from 1 species
UUUAUGGAGAGUUUGAUCCUGGCUCAGGAUGAACGCUGGCGGCGUGCCUAAUACAUGCAAGUCGAGCGAACGGACGAGAAGCUUGCUUCUCUGAUGUUAGCGGCGGACGGGUGAGUAACACGUGGAUAACCUACCUAUAAGACUGGGAUAACUUCGGGAAACCGGAGCUAAUACCGGAUAAUAUUUUGAACCGCAUGGUUCAAAAGUGAAAGACGGUCUUGCUGUCACUUAUAGAUGGAUCCGCGCUGCAUUAGCUAGUUGGUAAGGUAACGGCUUACCAAGGCAACGAUGCAUAGCCGACCUGAGAGGGUGAUCGGCCACACUGGAACUGAGACACGGUCCAGACUCCUACGGGAGGCAGCAGUAGGGAAUCUUCCGCAAUGGGCGAAAGCCUGACGGAGCAACGCCGCGUGAGUGAUGAAGGUCUUCGGAUCGUAAAACUCUGUUAUUAGGGAAGAACAUAUGUGUAAGUAACUGUGCACAUCUUGACGGUACCUAAUCAGAAAGCCACGGCUAACUACGUGCCAGCAGCCGCGGUAAUACGUAGGUGGCAAGCGUUAUCCGGAAUUAUUGGGCGUAAAGCGCGCGUAGGCGGUUUUUUAAGUCUGAUGUGAAAGCCCACGGCUCAACCGUGGAGGGUCAUUGGAAACUGGAAAACUUGAGUGCGGAAGAGGAAAGUGGAAUUCCAUGUGUAGCGGUGAAAUGCGCAGAGAUAUGGAGGAACACCAGUGGCGAAGGCGACUUUCUGGUCUGUAACUGACGCUGAUGUGCGAAAGCGUGGGGAUCAAACAGGAUUAGAUACCCUGGUAGUCCACGCCGUAAACGAUGAGUGCUAAGUGUUAGGGGGUUUCCGCCCCUUAGUGCUGCAGCUAACGCAUUAAGCACUCCGCCUGGGGAGUACGACCGCAAGGUUGAAACUCAAAGGAAUUGACGGGGACCCGCACAAGCGGUGGAGCAUGUGGUUUAAUUCGAAGCAACGCGAAGAACCUUACCAAAUCUUGACAUCCUUUGACAACUCUAGAGAUAGAGCCUUCCCCUUCGGGGGACAAAGUGACAGGUGGUGCAUGGUUGUCGUCAGCUCGUGUCGUGAGAUGUUGGGUUAAGUCCCGCAACGAGCGCAACCCUUAAGCUUAGUUGCCAUCAUUAAGUUGGGCACUCUAAGUUGACUGCCGGUGACAAACCGGAGGAAGGUGGGGAUGACGUCAAAUCAUCAUGCCCCUUAUGAUUUGGGCUACACACGUGCUACAAUGGACAAUACAAAGGGCAGCGAAACCGCGAGGUCAAGCAAAUCCCAUAAAGUUGUUCUCAGUUCGGAUUGUAGUCUGCAACUCGACUACAUGAAGCUGGAAUCGCUAGUAAUCGUAGAUCAGCAUGCUACGGUGAAUACGUUCCCGGGUCUUGUACACACCGCCCGUCACACCACGAGAGUUUGUAACACCCGAAGCCGGUGGAGUAACCUUUUAGGAGCUAGCCGUCGAAGGUGGGACAAAUGAUUGGGGUGAAGUCGUAACAAGGUAGCCGUAUCGGAAGGUGCGGCUGGAUCACCUCCUUU